rnacentral:lncRNA from 10 species
UUUUUUCACUCUUCACCCACAUAUACACACACAUAUUCAUGAAAACUAACCAGUUAUUUGCAACAUUUUGAAUCUAGUUUUAGGAAGAAAUGUAUCUGUGUGAUUGUUAUUGCCUAGUUAUUUAUAUCAUAGGGUUUAUAAAAGGUUCCACUAAGUAAUGAAAUGUUAGAUGGCUUGUCUGAUUUAAAUAACCAAACUUUAAAAGGAGCUUAUUCAUUAUUAUAUAUAAAGCAAUUUUCCAAGAGCACAGCUGUGCAAUUUUAUUCCAUUGAAACCUCCUCCCACUUAGCAAAAUAUUUAGAUAUGUAGACAUAUAGAUAGAGAAUUAUAAUAGGGCAGAGAGGAAAUAGACAAUGAUUAAAGGAUAAAUUCCAUUUGCCACAACAUAUUUUCAUGAUUUCCCCCCCAUGAAUCUACUGCCUUUGGGGUGUUUGGUGGCUAAAAUAGCAGUGAGAGCUUGUUGUCGCUGAAGCAUGUUGUUGCAAAUGCUUUAUGCCCUGCCUUUCUCCCAGUGACUCUCUUGCUUUCUUUCCUAAUGGUACCAUCUGCCACUCAUAGAACUGUCGCAGAAAACACAGAGAUCUGAUCAAAGGUCAUUGGUAUUGAUAGCGCUUACUUAGCAGGUGCCUCUGCAAUCAGUUUUAAUGAGUUUGAGCCCUACUUAUUUCUCCUCCUGCUACUGGUCUAUUGAAAAAAAAAAAUAGUUGGCAGAGGUGUCAAUGACACCACAGGCACAAACUUCCUUGAUAAGCUUUGAUUUAAAGAGCCAAGAGGCAAAACCCAAAGUAACUCCUGAUGCGUGUGUUCCUGUGACAGAGGCAGUUAGAGGAGGCUUAGGAAACUCAUCUUUGAGUGAUAGUGAAGACUCAGUACGGCAUUGGCCUCAUCGUUAUUCCACAAGGCUCACCUGCAAAGUGUAUCCGCAAGGUGCAAUUUGAAGUGAUUAUUUUAAUCACAAAGUUUCAAAUGGGAGCAACAUGAGAGAUCACCACCCAAAUUUUCAGAUGUUCAAUGCCAUUUUCAGGUCAGGAAUCCAAGCGCGGCUCAGCUGCUGGUUCCGGCUCAGCGCCUCCACUCGGCUCGCACUGAAGAUGUGGGCCAAUGUUGCAGUUAUCUGGAGGUCUGGCUAAGCUGGUGAUCCACUUUAAGUGCACUUAUGUGACCAGUGGCUGGGGACUUCGGUUCCUCACUGCAAAGGUAUCUCCAUAGGACUGUUCGUAAUACAGCAGCUGGCUUCUUUAAGAACAAAGGGAGCAGGAGCGAGAGACAGUCCAUGAAAAAAAGCUGCAUUGCCUUUUAUAAUCUAAUAGUGGAGGUGACACGCCAUCAUUUCUGCCAUGUUUUAUUGGUCACACAGACCAACUCUGGUACAAUGUAGGAAGGGAUUAAACAGGGAAGUAACACCAGAAUAUGGAAACAUUGCGGGGGGUGGCGGGGGGGGGAGGUCCUCUGAGAGACUGCUACCACCUGUGGUUUUCAUAAUACCAAAUAUGGAAAAGUUUUACUAUUUUAAUUUGCAACAGCUAACAAAGUCAGUGGAUGAAAAUAGGGUUUUUCUCUGUCAAUGAAAUAAAAUUGUUUAAAAAUUGUUACUAUGUUGCCUUCUUAAUUGAUUAAAUUGCUUUAAGCAGUUAUAGGUCACCUUCUGAAUCUCAUAUUGGUGUGCCCUUCUGUGCAGUCCUAGUGAAAGUUUCUCUUUCAGCUUGUUAAAAAACAUUUCUUCUUGUUAUAAAAAUCAUAUGGGGCUAUAUUAGUUUUCUGUUCCUGAUAUGAUUUAUUACAUAAACUUAGUAGCUUCAAACAAUAUCAUUUUUUCUCACAGUGUCUAUGGUUUGGACCUGAUGGGGGCCUCACCUUAUGCUUUCAGAGGAUUGGACUCAAGGUGCUGGCUGAGUUGCAUUCCUUACAAGAGACCCUGAAGAGGAAUUUUCUUCCACUGAUAUUCAGAUUCUUCUAGGCAUCCGGUGUCUUCAGAGAUAAGGAUAUUAAUGAGGGCCUGACAACCCUCAUUCAGAUGAAGGUCAGAGAAUUCUUUUAUGGCCUGCUUUAGGUGAGAAGGGUGGGAGAAGGUGAGAUUGACCUUCCUACCUCUGCUGUUUUCUCAAAUGCUAAGAUGUUAUAUUUUGGGGUAGCAUACCCUAAACACCAUAACUGGCAUACCUCACAAAAUAUUCUUCAGAACCUUAGAGACUUUAUAAAUACACAUGUAAAAUAAUCUACAUAUAUUCUGUUUCUCAAGUAAAUUUAUGUGUACUGCCUCUUCCAGUGAUGACAGACAUCAUAACUGACAAAGACACUCUUUCCUUCUGAGCCAAAACACUGUCUCACCAUCAUGCUAAGCAAUGCUCUCCAGGCAUCAUUAAUAAACCCUAAGUUUUUCAUGUGGAAGAAAAUUAUUUUCCAAAUACUACUUCCUCAUACUAUUAUCUAGCAUAAUCAUCGUGAUAAUAUUAAACAGAAACUUGC